rnacentral:lncRNA from 1 species
GCACUGCACCGAGCUUGCACAGGGCGAGGCGGGGGCAGGACCUGGGACCCAGCCACCCCGGAGGAAACCGGAGAGGAAACCAGCUUGGUCUUGCUCUCUGCCUCGUCCCAAUCCCCGGCUCUUACCAAAUGCAGAUCCGUUGGCUGAAUGCCUUUUAGUCUGCAUACAUGCAUCUCAUACCGCACAGCCCAAAUUUCUACAACUUGUCCAGGUGCAGUCUCCUCAGAACUACAAAGCAAGAAAAGAUCACCUUUGGGCUCAGGAACUCACAGUCGUUCUCCCUCUCCCGGAAGGCACAAUGACCAGGACAGUACCGAGCUUUACAGCCAUAUUGAACUCACCAUCAACUCAGCACAUUCAACUCAAUCAGUCAAAAUCGUCUUUUCCUGCUGGUAAAUAACACUGAAAUUGUGGGAAGAUGGGAUGGUAAGAACAAAGUCUGUCUCUGGAAGCACGGGCGCUGUCUCUGAAGACAAAUUGAUCGUAACACAAGCAGACCCGGUGGAACGACCUCCAUGCUGAACCCUCAGCUCCCCCUGCAUUUGGACCAUGGCCUGAUGGAAGAUAAAGAGACUGAUCUCAGAGUGGUACAGAUCUACAACCACGUGAAGAAUUGGAUUUAUAUUCAUCUGACUCCAGAAAGUUCCUGAGAUUCCUCUGCUUCAUCAUCUUUCCCAUGCCCUUUAAAACACGUUAUCAAAUAGCAACAGGUGGUGCAAUAACUAGACAAAUGAUUCUCAGCCUUUUUCUUUGCCAUUAGCACUCCCGGAAGGAGACGUGUUGGACACUUUUCCUUGUCACCACCCCAUGAACCUUCCAUACCACAGGUAUACUGUGUAUUCGGUUAUGUAUCAUCUGUACAUCUGUUUCUAAAACACAGAAACAGUAAGAGCCCCCCAUCCAAGAAUCCAUUUUAAUCCUCUUGGGUGUGAUGUCACCCCCCAAAAAUGCAUAUGCUCUGGAGUCAGUCACAAACACAUUACGAAUGCAUGAUCACUUAAGAAUGUUACCAAAGUUUAUAAAUUUGAGAUGAUAAUUCUAUGUUAUUUAGUUCAUUUUAGAGAUAAGUAAGAACCAGAGAUUCCAGAGAGGUAGACCAAGCUGACAGAGCAAGGAAAGGCAGAGCCAGACAUGCAGCUGAAGCAUCUGAAUUCCCACUCUAGUGCUCCAGCUUAACCUGGAUGAUCAGUAAAUGGUUGCUUUUCAAUGUGCUCUCAACACUUCCCACACUGCCUCCUUCAUUAAUAAAGGAAUGGUAUUUUGGGAGAAACCAGAAUCUGCCCUGGGGCAAUAGAAAGGCAGCAAAGCAACCUGCAUUCAAGUCUUUGGGGGAUUUUUUGGAAAGCAGAGUGUAUUAGUCUGCUAUUGCUGCUGUAACAAAUUACCAUAAAUUUAGUGGCUUAAAACAACACACAUUUGUUGUCUUAAAGUUCUGGAGGUCAGAGCCCAAAAUGGGUCUCAUGGAGCUCAAAUCAAGAUGUCAGAAGGGCUGUGUUCCUUUGGAAGGCCCUUGGGGAGAAUCUGUUCCAUGCCUUCUCCAGUUCCUGGAAGUCACCUGCUUGCUUUGGCUGUGGGGCACUUCCAGCAACUGCAUCACUCUAACCUCUGCAACCAUAGCACGUCUCCCUUUUCUGACUCUCACCCUCUUCUUUCUUUCCCUUAUAAGGACAAUUGUAGUACAGGAUAAUCUCCCCAUUUCAAAAUCCUUUACUUAAUCACAUCUGCAAAGUCCGUCUUGGCCUAUAAGGUGACAUACUUGCAGAUUCCAGAAAUUAGAAUUUGGACGUCUUUGGGUGGCUGUUAUUAUGCCUGCCACACAGACCAAUGCAUACACAAUGUGACCAAUCCAUCAUGAUUUGUCUGAGACUAUAUUGGCUUUAAAGCUGAAAGUUCUGCAUCCCAGGAAUCGCCUCAGUCCCAGGCAAUUCAGGACAAUUCGUCGUCACCCUAUGUGCACCUCCUAUGUGCUCCUUCAACUUAGAGAGUUGGUGUUUUCUCUCCUCUUCAAAGGACUAACUCCUUUUCACCUAAAGAGUACACAGAGGCUGGGUGUAGUGGUUUAGGCCUGUACUCUGUGCAUUUGGGACACUGAGGCAGGAGGUUCACUUGAGCCCAGGAGUUUGAGACCAUUCACGGCAACAUAGUGAGAUCCUUUCUCUACAAAUUUUUUAAAAAAUUAGUUGGGCAUGGUGGCACAUGCCUGUAGUCCCAGAUACUUGGCAGGCUAAGGAGGAAGGAUCCCCUGAGCCCGGGAUUCAAGGCUGCAGUGAGCUAUGAUAGUGCCACUGUACUGCAGCUGAGGCAAUAAAACGAGGCCCUGUCUCUAAAAAUAAAAAAAAAAAAAAAAAAGAAAAAAAGGCUGCACAGAAUAGACUGAUGGACUGAAGGCUCUGCCCUUAUCAAACAUUUACUAAGUAAUAAUUAUAAGUUUGCCUCCUACACUGGGUGACUUCUC